AUGUGCGAUAUAGGAUGUGGGCUGAAGGAGAACAAUGCAUUCAAGGGGAAUUCGGUGGAGGCGAUUAAUCCCAUCUAUCCCUUCUGGACUCAUUUCCAUCUGGUCAGCUCAGAAGGGAAUCUUUCAGUGAAAGAGGGACUGAAAAACAUAGAAGAAUGUCCAAAGAGUAGAGUGUAUGUUGGUGGUUCUCAGAAGGCAGAGAGCGUUUAUAAAUGUGGAGAACAAACCCCACAAUCUGAGUCUGAGGUGGAAGUGGUGAGACUGUGUCUCAGGAAUGUAUUUGGACAAGGGUCAGUGUCUGUCACUCCCAGCGUGGACAUGAGGGCCCUUGUGCAGCUCCUCAGCUUCCUGCUGCUCUGGCUCCCGGGUGCCAGGUGUGAUAUCCAGAUGACCCAGCCUCUAUCCAUGUCUGCAUCUCUGGGAGACAAAGUCACAAUCACCUGCAAGGCUAGUCAGUUCAUUGGCAAUUUUUUAGCCUGGUAUCAGCAGAAACCAGGGAAUGCUCCCAGGAUUCUGAUCUAUUUGGCAACCAACUUAGGACCAGACGUUCCUCCCCGGUUCAGUGGCAGUGGAUUUGGGACAGAUUUCACUCUCACCAUCAGCAGCCUGAUGCCUGAGGACGUUGCCACUUAUUAUUGUCUACGGCAUAAUGCUUACCCUCUCACAGUGAUACACGCCAGCACAUAA